rnacentral:rRNA from 1 species
AGAGUUUGAUCCUGGCUCAGGACGAACGCUGGCGGCGUGCUUAACACAUGCAAGUCGAACGGUAAGGCCCUUCGGGGUACUCGAGUGGCGAACGGGUGAGUAACACGUGGGUGAUCUGCCCUGCACUUUGGGAUAAGCCUGGGAAACUGGGUCUAAUACCGAAUAGGACCACGCGCUUCAUGGUGUGUGGUGGAAAGCUUUUGCGGUGUGGGAUGGGCCCGCGGCCUAUCAGCUUGUUGGUGGGGUAAUGGCCUACCAAGGCGACGACGGGUAGCCGGCCUGAGAGGGUGACCGGCCACACUGGGACUGAGAUACGGCCCAGACUCCUACGGGAGGCAGCAGUGGGGAAUAUUGCACAAUGGGCGCAAGCCUGAUGCAGCGACGCCGCGUGAGGGAUGACGGCCUUCGGGUUGUAAACCUCUUUCAAUAGGGACGAAGCGCAAGUGACGGUACCUAUAGAAGAAGCACCGGCCAACUACGUGCCAGCAGCCGCGGUAAUACGUAGGGUGCGAGCGUUGUCCGGAAUUACUGGGCGUAAAGAGCUCGUAGGUGGUUUGUCGCGUUGUUCGUGAAAACUCACAGCUUAACUGUGGGCGUGCGGGCGAUACGGGCAGACUAGAGUACUGCAGGGGAGACUGGAAUUCCUGGUGUAGCGGUGGAAUGCGCAGAUAUCAGGAGGAACACCGGUGGCGAAGGCGGGUCUCUGGGCAGUAACUGACGCUGAGGAGCGAAAGCGUGGGGAGCGAACAGGAUUAGAUACCCCGGUAGUCCAA